GCACCUAUAGCUCAGUUGGAUAGAGCGUUGGACUUCGAAUCCAAGCGUCGCAGGGAAUCCAAGCGUCGCAGGUUCGAAUCCUGUUAGGUGUACCA
rnacentral:tRNA from 1 species